UAGUCCACGCCGUAAACGAUGAUCACUCGAUAUUGGCUUCGGUCAGUGUCCAAGCGAAAGUGAUAAGUGAUCCACCUGGGGAGUACGCCGGCAACGGUGAAACUCAAAGGAAUUGACGGGGGCCCGCACAAGCGGUGGAGCAUGUGGUUUAAUUCGAUGAUACGCGAGGAACCUUACCAGGGCCUAAAUGCAGAACGACCGGCGUGGAAACAUGCCUUUCUUCGGACGGACUGCAAGGUGCUGCAUGGUCGUCGUCAGCUCGUGCCGUGAGGUGUCGGGUUAAGUCCCAUAACGAGCGCAACCCCUAUUGCUAGUUGCCAGCAUUAAGUUGGGGACUCUAGCAAGACUGCCCGCGUAAGCGGAGAGGAAGGUGGGGACGACGUCAAAUCAUCAUGGCCUUUAUGCCUAGGGCGACACACGUGCUACAAUGGUGCAUACAGAGGGUUGCUAAGCCGCGAGGUGGAGCUAAUCCCAGAAAGUGCAUCCCAGUUCGGAUUGG
rnacentral:rRNA from 1 species